UGCCCNCUGAUAUAAAAUUAAAGGGCUGCAGUAAUUUGACUGUACAAAGGUAGCAUAAUCAUUAGUCAUUUAAUUGAUGACUUGUAUGAAAGAUUGGAUGAAAUAUAAACUGUCUUAAAAUUAAAUUUUAAAAUUUAAUUUUUUAGUUAAAAAGCUAAAAUUUAUAAAAAAGACGAGAAGACCCUAUAGAGUUUGAUUAUUGUUAAAAUUAAUUAUUUUUUGUUUAUUUAUAAUGUAAAUUUUAUAAAUAAUUUUAUUGGGGUGAUAAAAAAAUUUAAUUAACUUUUUUUCUAUUAGAACAUAAAUAAAUGAAUAAUUGAUCCAAUUUUAUUGAUUAGAAGAAAAAAUUACCUUAGGGAUAACAGCGUAAUUUUUUUUUUUAGUUCGUAUAAAAAGAAAAGUUUGCGACCUCGAUGUUGGAUUAAGAUAAAAUUUAAAUGUAGAAGUUUAAAGUUUUUGA
rnacentral:rRNA from 1 species